AGUGAACGCUGGCGGUAGGCCUAACACAUGCAAGUCGAACGGCAGCACAGUAAGAGCUUGCUCUUACGGGUGGCGAGUGGCGGACGGGUGAGGAAUACAUCGGAAUCUACUUUUUCGUGGGGGAUAACGUAGGGAAACUUACGCUAAUACCGCAUACGACCUACGGGUGAAAGCAGGGGAUCUUCGUACCUUGCGCGAUUGAAUGAGCCGAUGUCGGAUUAGCUAGUUGGCGGGGUAAAGGCCCACCAAGGCGACGAUCCGUAGCUGGUCUGAGAGGAUGAUCAGCCACACUGGAACUGAGACACGGUCCAGACUCCUACGGGAGGCAGCAGUGGGGAAUAUUGGACAAUGGGCGGAAGCCUGAUCCAGCCAUACCGCGUGGGUGAAGAAGGCCUUCGGGUUGUAAAGCCCUUUUGUUGGGAAAGAAAAGCAGCAGGUUAAUACCCCGCUGUUCUGACGGUACCCAAAGAAUAAGCACCGGCUAACUUCGUG
rnacentral:rRNA from 1 species